rnacentral:rRNA from 1 species
UACGUAGGGGGCAAGCGUUGUCCGGAAUUAUUGGGCGUAAAGAGCGUGUAGGCGGUCCGGUAAGUCAGCUGUGAAAGUCAAGGGCUCAACCCUUGAAUGCCGGUGGAUACUGUCGGGCUAGAGUGCGGAAGAGGCGAGUGGAAUUCCUGGUGUAGCGGUGAAAUGCGCAGAUAUCAGGAGGAACACCUAUUGCGAAGGCAGCUCGCUGGGACGUAACUGACGCUGAGACGCGAAAGCGUGGGGAGCAAACAGG